UACGAGGGGGGCAAGCGUUGUUCGGAAUUAUUGGGCGUAAAGGGCGCGUAGGCGGACAGUUUAGUCAGAGGUGAAAGCCCAGGGCUCAACCUUGGAAUUGCCUUUGAUACUGGCUGUCUUGAGUUCGGGAGAGGUGAGUGGAAUGCCGAGUGUAGAGGUGAAAUUCGUAGAUAUUCGGCGGAACACCAGUGGCGAAGGCGACUCACUGGCCCGAUACUGACGCUGAGGCGCGAAAGCGUGGGGAGCAAACAGG
rnacentral:rRNA from 1 species